rnacentral:lncRNA from 1 species
GGAAGACCUGAACAGGCAAGCAUAGUAUUGCAAGUAAGAAAAUGUGAAACAUUGCUAAUAACUUGCCUCAUAUACAUGACAGUUUUAGGUCAUACAAGCAGCGGGUUAAAGAAAAACAGUCUAUAUGUGAUGAACCAAGCCUAAGUCAAAUAGGUAAUGCCAAUACAACCAAAUUCAUUACAAUAGAUGGAUUUCAGUCCUAACACUGGAAUGUAAAUAAGCAUAACAGAAGUGAAUCAUAUAACGUGGUUUAUACAAAGCACGAUAGUCUUCCUGUGAGUACAACUUCUACCACACAUAGCCUCUAAACAAAAGAAAAGAUAACCAUGAGUUAUUUGUACUUAUAAUAGAGCAACAUCACAACAGUUCUAGUUAUCCGCGCUGUUACGUUGCAUAUAUAUAAGAGAAGCCAUGCAUGUACCUAGCUAGAACGAAUCAGCCCAUAGCAUUUUUCAGACUCAUUUCGUGUCCUCGGUUUCUCAAUGCUGCUCUAACUGUAGCAUCUUAUCUCUGUUUUCACCGCGGGUAUCAUGAAUCCUUUUGCUUACAUAGCAGCAGGGUCUUCCGACAUGGUCUCAUGUAACAGCCGUACAGCUGUUUUAUCUCCAAAAGAUGAUAUUGCUGUAUGCAAAUAAACAGUCAAGCACAUCAUGCAACUGUCACAUUUUGCUUCGAUACUCAGCCACUGGUAGGCCAGAAGUUUGUAGAAGAAUAUCCAACAUCAUCAUGUGAGGUAUUUUCACCAUCGGUGGAGCACCCUGUAGGUUUUAAUGACAUGCCAUAAAUUUGCAGAAUUUACAGGGAAACCUAAGACAUUUUAGAAAUUACUUCAUACCUAAGACAUAGAACAAUUGGCAUGCCGUCCUCAAACUAUAUUCUUUGUAGUCACAAUAAAAGCUAUCCAGUGUGGAGAAAUAGGUAUGCUGAUUUAUAAGACGCUCGCCACAAAAUUUGAUUAUUAGUAGAUGAUCCAGGACCUAGGGAAAGCUGAUUACACAUUUGUUGACUGUCUAUUGACCUGUGUUGUGAUGAUAGCAUAGAAUGACAAUCAGAGUAAUUGCUUAGCACUAUUAUUAGGUCUCAGGCUUCUCCUAGGUGUGUACCUAUUUCUGAAACGUACAUAGGCUAGAGAGGGAAUCCAUGAUAGAACGAAUAUAAAAAGUUAUAGUCUCCUUUGUCCGAACAUCAAAAGUAAAUUAGUUAAAGAAGGAUUCGGAGAGCACCUGCUAAUAAGCAAUUGCAUCUAUCAUGGUAAAUAAGCACAUCACAUAAGGGACAUCCAACAUCUGUUUUUAUAAGCUGCAAUCAUAGAACUGAUUCUCAUCCAUCAUCAUCAAAUUGAAAGAGAAAUUACCUGUUAGUCGCUGGACAGCCGCCGAGGUUGUAUCAUGGGUUCUGAGCAAGAAAGGAGGCGAAGGAUCCAUGUAUGGUUUCGUCUGGUCGACAGGAAGAUAUAUAUAGUAAGAAAUGAUACAGCUGAAUAUAUAUAUAGAAGGCCCACUAUUCGAUCCAGCUGAAGCUUGUAAUGAGCCUGCAGGCAUCAUCCAGACAUAUGUAUAGUAAGCAAUGAUAUAAGUUUAUCACAAUAUCUCAAGUAACAAAGAACUGGUGAACUGAUGAUUUAAUGAAAAAUCCUUGAAUGUGCAGAUCCAAACAGUAAUAGCAAGUUAAAGAUCAAGUUGGACAGGGUAACGUCUAAUUGGCAUCACCCUUUUUAUAAAAGUCAAAAAGAUCUUAAUGGCCUCGUGACUGAAUAAGAUGUGUAGAUGGAGAAACCAUGCGUAUGAAGCUGCUCAGUACAACUUAACUGAAUUCACUGACUUGAGGUAACGAUGAAGAAAGAAUAAAACAUUCAUAAAAUGCAGAUUCUCUCUUCUUUGAAGAUAUUACAUGACUCGGCAUCUUCUUGUAGGAAAGAACAAAGCAAAUAAAGAAGGAUAAAAUAAGAACAAAGCAAUGAACAGAGCAUCAAGGAAUCAGUAGAACAAUUUCAGCUCACCAUGUCGCGUCACCCCGCGGCUGACCUUCAUGUUCAAAUAACCAAGUAUAUCACAUCAUUUCUGGUUCAUGUACCCCUGGAAAACACAAUGACAUCAGUUAAUGGCGUACACAUAUUUAAAAAAAACUAUGAGCAUAUUUUCACUAACAAUACACACACCAACACCAAAAUCAGAAGAAACAAAAUUGAGAAUAUGACAAGUGAACUUGGCACACGAUAAAUUUGACAGGCCAAUGUAUGACAACUUGUCAUGUCCAUAUGGCAAAAAGCAAUACUUGACACAAAUUAAUUUAUCUGUAAAAAUGACAUAAGGAAUGUACUCAAUAAGCAUGCUAAGAUACAGUCAAGCGUCGAAUGGGUUACUUCGAUUCUGAUAUAGCAAUUACACAAAAAAUAUAGUUCAUAACAGCAUGACAAGUGAGGUGAAAGCAUUGAUAUAUCUGAACACUUCAUCAUUUUACUGAAAAUUAAUAUUUGUAUGCCUUUUCUACUUGUGAAAUAUUUGUAUUGUUUGACCAUGAUGUAUUUUGUCUAAGUAGACGAUGAUAUACUGAACUUACUGACAAGUGUCAAAUUCUUGAUUUAUUAGACAUCUAACUAAGGGAUAUACAGGGACAGUUAACAACAUUUAUCGCUGCAAUGCGCAUGUACUGCAUUUAGACAACAAGUGCCGAUCAUCAGUCCCAACACUGAAGAUUCAUUUCAUUUUAUCAUCAUUUUAUCUAGAAUAGAUAAAUGCAACAAAUGAUAGGAGUUGGGCAUCGAAUGGCGCCAAAUGGCACAGUGUCCAUGUCAAACCAAGAGUAAUUGAAAAUAAAUGCUUGUCAAUUUGGCAAUACCAACGAUCCUUUUAGUAAUGAAAAUUGAAGGUUCAAACUAUGCAAUAGAGUUUUCAAAAUGCGAUCGUAAAUUCUCUCUAUACAAUUUUCUGUGUUAGCUCAAAGUUAAAAAGGCCUAUACUGAUUUGACAUAUAUAUAUACCACUUUAAUUAAAAUAAGUAAGCUUGUUCUGUACAAUAAGAUGUAGAUGCACAUUUUAAUUCAGUACCUCGCGUUGGUAAUAUAUUUAUUUUUCACUAAGCUUUUGAUUGAUAUAUCUUAUUAAGGCGCAAUGCCCAAAUUCAAUCCUGGAGUAUUCUGAAACAGUUUGUGUUUCUUUAAUAUCUUUUCAGUUUUAGAAAUUUAGGUGCUUGGUAAGAAUUAGCAAAAAGCCCCCAUUCGGACAGUUAGGAGAGGAUGCUGCAAUUUCCAAACUAAGUACAAAUAGAUAUGUGAUACACAUGAAAUAAAUCAUUAUAACUCAGACCACACUAAAGUAGAACGAAUCAAAGGUAUGGACAUAAUAAAACUGAACUUCAGUUAUACAAAUAUGCAUCAACACAGUAGCCAUUCAGUUCAUAGUUUACAGGGGAAAGGAAUAAACAACUGCAUUGCUUGCCGGUUCGCUAGUGUUGUACAAUGACAAAUGCCAAUACCUUGUUUCUCCAGGACCAGCAGCAUGGUGGGGUCGGAUGCACUCAUCAUCACUUCAUGUGUGCGGAGCUCCCCAAGCCACACCCGUGGUCACCUCUCUUGCUGCCUAUCCAACUCGCUGCACCAUGCUCCGUGCUCACCGGUGCUAUCCGUCGACCCGCUUUGGUCGAGGCACUACCAGGAUGCUCGAUUUCGCACGGGUCUCUGUUUCCUUGUCUAAAUCCCGUCCAGAAGCUUCC